CCUGCCAGUAGUCAUACGCUUGUCUUAAAGAUUAAGCCAUGCAUGUCUAAGUUUAAGCAAUUAAACAGCGAAACUGCAGAUGGCUCAUUAAAUCAGUCAUUGUUGGAGCAGUUUUAGUCCUUAGGAUAACCGUGGUAAUUCUAGGGCUAAUACUUAAGUGCUUUUGCACCGCAUUUGUGGGGGUUCAUACCAAUGCCUUCGGGCUUGUUUUGAAUAACUACAACUUGCUGAUCGCAUAGCUUCAUGCUGGCGACAUCCUGCUCAAAUGUCUGCCCUAUCAGCUGACGAUGGUAGCAUAGAGGGCCACCAUGGCUGUUACGGGUAACGGGGAACAAGGGUUCGGUUCCGGAGAGGGGGCCUGAGAAAUGGCCACCACUUCUAAGGAAGGCAGCAGGCGCGCAAAUUACCCAAUAGCGAUAUGCUGAGGUAGUGACAAGAUAUACCAAUAUGGAUCCCCGCAAGGGAUCUGUAAUUGGAAUGAACCCAAUUUAAAUCUCUUAAUGAGAACCAAUUGGAGGACAAGUCUGGUGCCAGCACCCGCGGUAAUUCCAGCUCCAAUAGCGUAUAUUAAAUUUGUUGCAGUUAAAACGCUCGUAGUCGAAUUAAGACUCUUGCAGGUCGGUCUACCGGAAGGUGUGCACUGGCUUGCGAGUUUCUCUGUUCGGUAGAACCUCUGGCCUUAACUGGCUGGAGGGGAUACAGAACCAAUUACCUUGAAUAAAUUAGAGUGUUUCAAGCAGGCUUUAUAGCCAGAAUACAUUAGCAUGGGAUAACAAAAUAGGGCUUUUGCUCUGUCUUGUUGGUAUGGGAGUAUUAGCAAUGAUUAACAGGAGUGAUCGGGGGCAUUCAUAUUUCAUUGUCAGAGGUGAAAUUCUUGGAUUGAUGAAAGAUGAACUGAUGCGAAAGCGUUUGCCAAGGACACUCCCAUUGAUCAAGAACGAAAGUUAGGGGAUCGAAGACGAUCAGAUACCGUCGUAGUCCUAACUGUAAACAUUGUCGACCAGAAAUCGCAAAAUGUUACUUGGAUGACUUUUGCGGCAUCCCGCGGGAAACCAGAGUUUUUGGAUUCCGGGGGGAGUAUGGUCGCAAGGCUGAAACUUAAAGGAAUUGACGGAAGGGCACACCAGGAGUGGAGCCUGCGGC
rnacentral:rRNA from 1 species